AGAGUUUGAUCCUGGCUCAGAUUGAACGCUGGCGGCAUGCCUUACACAUGCAAGUCGAACGGUAGAGGGGCAACCCUUGAGAGUGGCGAACGGGUGAGUAAUAUAUCGGAACGUGCCCAGUCGUGGGGGAUAACGCAGCGAAAGCUGCGCUAAUACCGCAUACGAUCUAUGGAUGAAAGCGGGGGAUCGCAAGACCUCGCGCGAUUGGAGCGGCCGAUAUCAGAUUAGGUAGUUGGUGGGGUAAAAGCCCACCAAGCCGACGAUCUGUAGCUGGUCUGAGAGGACGACCAGCCACACUGGGACUGAGACACGGCCCAGACUCCUACGGGAGGCAGCAGUGGGGAAUUUUGGACAAUGGGCGCAAGCCUGAUCCAGCAAUGCCGCGUGCAGGACGAAGGCCUUCGGGUUGUAAACUGCUUUUGUACGGAGCGAAACGGUCUGGGUUAAUACCCUGGGNUAAUGACGGUACCGUAAGAAUAAGCACCGGCUAACUNCNNNNCAGCCGCCGCGGUAAUAC
rnacentral:rRNA from 1 species